rnacentral:piRNA from 1 species
UCGGCGAGCUCCCUUUGACCUUU